CAGUGACUUAUGUGCUUUAACAAAUAUCAGCUGUUUGUUUGGGGUGUAAUGAACAAACCAGAGCCAGAGUGACAACUGCUUCAACUAAUUAUGAAGACAGCUUGCAAACUAUAGCCCCACUUGUUUCAGGCUCCAAAUGAUGACAGUCAGACUGCUGUUCCCGCCAGCUUGAUUUCAGAGCACUUUUAUUUUCAUAUUUCAAAGGACGCUGAUCUGUAUAUAAACUUGAGCAGAUGGAUGAACUGUGUCACAUGUGUAGUCAAGCUGCUGGUCUAAGAGACAAAGACAUGAAUAUCCAAGGAAAGUUACAGAAAAAUUACAGGAAACUCCCAAGGACAAAAUCAAAGCAAUAGUGAAGGGAGCCAUUGUAAUACACUAAAGGGAGACGCCAGACAACAGAUAUAUGAACUGCAAGCUCGUAUAGGUUGGGUUUCUCUUACAAACAGGAAGUGGUGACUGAAGAGUUACUAUUUGCUUUGGAUUCCAGUAAUUCUGUAACAUUUAAACAGAAAGCAUGCAGAGAACAGCACAUGAAUGGAGUGAAUGGCAUCUGCAAUUACCUGCCAAAAUAAAUAAAUUGACAUUCAUGAAGACCAGAGCCCUCCACAGAACAGCUACAUACCGAGCAAAAGCAAAUGAGGCUUUGCUAGUCCCAAGCC